rnacentral:rRNA from 1 species
GAUGAACGCUGGCGGCGUGCCUAAUACAUGCAAGUCGAGCGAACGGACGAUAAGCUUGCUUGUCUGAUGUUAGCGGCGGACGGGUGAGUAACACGUGGAUACCCUACCUAUAAGACUGGGAUAACUUCGGGAAACCGGCGCUAAUACCGGAUAAUAUUUUGAACCGCAUGGUUCAAAGGUGAAAGACGGUCUUGCUGUCACUUAUAGAUGGAUCCGCGCUGCAUUAGCUAGUUGGUAAGUUAACGGCUUACCAAGGCAACGAUGCAUAGCCGACCUGAGAGGGUGAUCGGCGACACUGGAACUGAGACACGGACCAGACGCCUAAGAGAGGGAGCAGUAGGGAAUCUGUCGCAAUGGGCGAAAGCCUGACGGAGUAACGCCGCGUGAGUGAUGAAGGUCUUCGGAUCGUAAAACUGUGUUAUUAAGGAAGAACAGAUGUGGAAGUAACUGUGCACAUCUUGACGGUACCUAAUCAGAAAGCCACGGCUAACUACGUG